rnacentral:misc_RNA from 1 species
AAAUAAAAAGAAAAAAAAAAAAGAGCAACUCUUGUAUGGUUCAAAUGAGAACUUCUUUAUUCAUCCUUGUUUGGCAAGAAAUUGGAUUGGAUUCAACAUUUCACAUUAUAUAUAUGUGUGUGUGUGUGUCUGUGUCUUUCACCUGCCAAGCUCAUUGUGCAAGCUGUGUAUGAUAACUUGUGAUGUAAAGUUCAAACAUAUUCAUCUGACAGUUAGGAGGGUUUUCCAGUCCAGUUAAACUACUUUUUCCCCUUUAUUUCUUGUACAACAUAUGUGCAUUAUGAAUUUAUCGGUUAUUGAUUAAAUACAUUUUCCCCUUUGUUCUUUUUCUCUUGGUAUGUUAUCAAUAGGUAUCCCGAUCUAUAGGUGAUG